AGGACGAACGCUGGCGGCGUGGAUUAGGCAUGCAAGUCGCGCGACAGACCUCCGGGUUAUGGAGCGGCGAACGGGUGAGUAACACGUGAACAAGCUGUCCCUACAUUCCGGAUAAUUGGACCGAAAGGCCUUGUAAGUACGGGGGGAGGAUCCUCAUUAGGCAUUCUUUUGAGGAAGGAACGCGAGAGCGGUGGCGGGGGAGGUGUUCGCGGCCUAUCUAGUUAGUAGGUGGGGUAACGCCUACCUAGACAACGACGGGUAGCUGGUCUGAGAGGAUGGUCAGCACAUUGGAACUGAGACACUGUCCAGACCUCCGUACGGGAGGCUGGCCAGUCGAAGUAAUCGUUGGGACAAUGACACGAAAGUGGUACGACCCAGCGACGCCGCGUAGGAGAAGACGGUCCGUUGGUUAGUAACUCUUUA
rnacentral:rRNA from 1 species